rnacentral:lncRNA from 1 species
UUAUCAGCAGAAAAUUAUUUAAAUUUUUUAUUAGUGAUUUCUUGUUUGAAAUUCCCUAUGCAAGUUAUCGUGUUCCUUUCAAGACCAGCCUUGUAUUCACUGUAACAAAAAGCCCUAAAGAUGUAAAUAAAGCCCUUUCGUUUGCAACUAGUGAUAUAAAGCUUACUUCUUGCACAUGUAGCAUUGUUGCGCUGCUUAGCCAGCCUCCACUGCCUCAGAACAGCCUCCACAAAGAAUAAUACUCGGUCUACCUCUUUUGUUUAGAGGUUGUUUCAUUUUCCUGCCAAGAGAGAGUUGAAAUAGGAUAUAAGCAGAAUUUGGUAACCUUCCCAAUUAAUUUAACCAUAAAUGAAUUUUUGCUAAGCCAAAAAAGAAUAAAAAUUCAUUCGGAAGAGCUCAAUUAGACACAGCACAUACACAACGAAUUUAUAAUGACAUGCAAUUGAAGAACUGUAACAUGUGCAGACUAAUUUGAAUUAUAUUAACCCAUUUCUCUUUACUUGUUUUAAUUCAUAACCCCCAAUUUAAAUGCCAGAAGCCAUAUGACCAGCUGCUUAUUCAUUCUGAGGAUGGCACGAUGGGGUGAAUUAAAUUUGAGGAAAUAAGACACAUAGCCCUGCAAAAGCAUUUUAAAAGAAGCACAAACAAAAUAUGAGCUAUGAGGCUUAACCUUUCACAAAAGCAAGCUGCAAAUUGUCUCUUGGCCAGAGGGCAGGAUGCUGUUGCCGCACCAGAUUAAACUCAACCAAGUUAGAUAUUCGAGCCUAGCCUCAAAGGAUGCAGAGGGAAUCAGAACUGAAACGAUGCAUAAUCCAGGGUAGGAUCAAUAUUUCGGCGGAAAAGGGAGCUAAAAAGUCAUGGAGGUCGCAAAGGCAUUUCACAGGGAAGGGAGGGAUUGGAAGCGAAGGUGUGCAGAGGGUAAAAAUAUCAUUAUACAUAGAACAAAUUUGCUCUAUCAAAUUGUGAAGUUCUCGUGCAAUAGAUAUAGUAGAUCAGCAAGAAUAUAUGUCUGGACUCUGGCCUAAGGUUUGAAUCCCAUAACACAACUUGCAGCCAUUAACCCAAAUCCCAUAAAACAUUCUUUAAUCCCCUGCAAUAAUGUAUUUGAACCUUGAAAAAGGGAUUUGUAUGAAUUCAUUCCAGGACUAGCUAGAACAGCCAGUCAAACACUAAUGUUACAGUUAAACAAAGCACUUGUACUUCUGACAGAUGCCCCAAAUUUCUAACUUACAUCAGACUAUAUCAAUGGAAUGGAUAAGAUUGCGCAAAAAGUGAGGUACAUUCGGCAAGUAGUUUUUAGUGUGUCAUCAUAAAUAAACAACUUUAUUGAGCGAGGUUUCAGCAAGAAAAUGGUAAAUAAAGUGGCAAAAGAUAUGUAAAAUUCAGUAAGUUGUACAAAUAAGAACUAGUAGGAAAUACAACAAAAGUUAUAAUUUCAGAUAAACAUAGAAGAAACCAAAACAGCCACAAGACCAGUGCAAAGACAGAAAGGAGAAAUUCAACUCACAAGUCAUCUGACUUCCAAAUUAGAAAAAUAUUGCACAAACACAUUAAUAUUCAUAAAACUCAAAUAUAUAAGUAAUGCAGUAGCUUACAUUCUUUACCGGAAAAUGAGCAGAAAAGACCAAACUUCUGUAUUCUAUUCUACUUGCUUUCAAAAAUCAGGAAUAUUGAUUGACAAAUAUUGUAACAAAAACUAGUAAACGUGCUGCAAAAUUAAAAUCCUAAUGAGUCCAACAGCCAAGUAUAGUCUCACAUUUGAAAAAUCUAAAUUGUAACAAAAACUAGUAAAAGUGUUGCAAAAAAAAAAAAAUUAAAAGUAGUCUAUCAUUCUUGAGUUGUUAACCGCUGAGCAAAAAGAAGCAAACCUCAGUAUUCUCUUAUAUUCCUUUAAGAAUUCCUGAAUACCUUGAAAUUCCAUCUGCAAAUUAACAAAUUCAUGUAUCAAAAAGGAGUACAAAUGGCACCAAAUGCAUAUUAGUACAACAACUGUAGAAGUGUUAUUGCUACUUUCAAAGACACCAAAUUUCAAUCUAAAUAAACAAAAACAAGGAGGAAAAAAGAAGAAAAACAGAGAGAGGGUCUUCCAGUACCAAAAUAGAUGAAGCAGGAACGAUACGAUUACUAGGAUCAGAGUCCAAGUUGGGCCUUUCCUCUAUGGAUCAGUAGGAGUAUGGUCCUCUUGAGUGGCAGCAUUGAGAGGGAAUUCAAGUUGUUUCUCCUCAUCUUUAGAGGAAUUCACUUUGUUAAUUUUGGAUUUUCUUCUGCAAUGGUUUCAUCAGAGUCGGACAAGUAAGACGAGUCAGUGGAGGGGGAGUCAUCGGAGAAAUGCCUCUUAGUGUAAUACAAUCUGACUGGGAAUGGUUCUAUUGCAUUGCUGUCAUCAAAGGGCUCGUCAGCAGUUUCAUGAAGUAUUUUCUCAGUUUGAAUUUCUGAUUCUUCUCCCGCAAUAACUUCAGACCCGGAGUCAGAGUCAGAGUCUAAAACGCUAGAGGAGUCAGUGGAGGAGUCACUCGAAUAAAUAUCUCUUAGUGGGAUACAGUCUCACCGGAAAGGGUUUCGCCUUACUAUAGUCAAAGGGGGGUUCAUCGCCAUCAGUGACAAUAGUUUCGGGUCUUUCUAAAUUAGGUUCGGAGAUUUUAUCUGUUUAAAUUUCCAGUUCUUCUUGUUCCUAC